GGCUCCAUAGUGUAGUGGUUAGCAUGUCUGCUUACACUCAGAAAGUCCUGGGUUCGUGCCCCAGGUGGAGCCA
rnacentral:tRNA from 1 species